rnacentral:tRNA from 1 species
GAUUUAACCCUAAAGACUGCAAAUCUUUUAAUUUAUAAUAUUUAUAUUAAAUCU